UUAAAAAGCUCGUAGUUGGAUCUCGGCGGGCAGGGGGUGGUUCGCUCUUCAGCGCUACUGCCCCGCUUUGCCCGUGUGAUUGGCGGAGGUUUCGGGGUGCUCUUCGUUGAGUGACUCGGAGCGCCGUCAGGUUUACUUUGAAAAAAUUAGAGUGCUCAAAGCAGGCUUUUCACGCUUGAAUAUUCGUGCAUGGAAUAAUGGAAUAGGAACUCGUUUCUAUUUUGUUGGUUUUCGGAAAUCGAGUUAAUGAUUAACAGGGACAAUUGGGGGCAUUAGUAUUCAGACGACAGAGGUGAAAUUCUUGGACCGUCUGAAGACUGACUACUGCGAAAGCAUUUGCCAAGAGUGUUUUCAUUAAUCAAGAACGAAAGUUAGAGGUUCGAAAGGCGAUCAGAUACCGCCCUAGUUCUAACCAUAAACGAUGCCAGCUAGCGAUCUGCCGAGUUUUUUUUGUAGGCUCCGCAGGAAGCUUUCGGGAAACCAAGCUUUUGGGUUCCGGGGGAAGUAU
rnacentral:rRNA from 1 species